CCAGAGUCUGUUUUAUUUAUGUUUUUUGUAUCCUAUCUUUAUAGUAGGAGACUUGGGAGUGCUCUCCUGUAGGAUCCAAGACUUCUCAUCUUUCCGAUGCGAACUGAAUUAUGCUAGCAUGUCAACCAGGACAUUUCAGAGAAGCAUCGAACAGAAACGUGUUAGUAAACCUCUUACCAGAACACCCUCACUAUCGAUUUUUUUUUGUCACUAAAACACAAACCAGCAUGGGACAUUAAACAGGACCUUUGGUAUUUGGUGUUGGGAAAAUGCCCCCUUGGAUCUAGAGCUCUUUAGGAGUAAUGGCUUCCCGAAAAGAACUAUAGAGAAAAAGAAGGCAGAAUAACCCAGGUGCCUGAGCAUCUUUGAGGAGAGGUUGUCUGUACAGGUGUAUGAGGAAAAGAAAAUCUUAUUUAUGAAUGGAGUGUGGUGAUACACCCUAUCCCGAGCUUUUGUCCCCACCAGCAAGAACAUGCUCAGGACAACCGGAAUCUUCUGCGGCAAAAGCUUUAUUGCUUACUUCUUUAGGAACAAGAGGAGAAGAAUAGGGGCGAAUGGCAAAACCCUGUCCCUUUUAUGGAGGAUUGUCCUCCGCCUCGGACAUGUCGCUCCCUGAUUGGCUGCAGCCCAUCAACCGAGUUGUCGUCAAGGGGAAGGCAGAGCACAUGGAGUGGAGAACUACCCCGGCACAUGCGCAGAUUAUUUGUUUACUACUUAGAACACAGGAUGUCGGCGCCAUCUUGUAAUGGUGAAUGUGAGGGUGGCUCCUCACAACAUCCCUUUAAUCCCAGUACUGAAGGCAGAGGCAGGUGGAUUUCUGAGUCUGAAGACAGCCUGGUAUAGAGAGCUAGUUCCAGGGCUAUACAAGAAGACUCUGUCUUGCAAAAAAUGAAACAAAACAAAAUAAAACAAAUGAAUAAACA
rnacentral:lncRNA from 1 species